UACGGGGGGGGCAAGCGUUGUUCGGAAUUACUGGGCGUAAUGGGCUCGUAGGCGGCCAACUAAGUCAGACGUGAAAUCCCUCGGCUUAACCGGGGAACUGCGUCUGAUACUGGAUGGCUUGAGUUCGGGAGAGGGAUGCGGAAUUCCAGGUGUAGCGGUGAAAUGCGUAGAUAUCUGGAGGAACACCGGUGGCGAAGGCGGCAUCCUGGACCGAUACUGACGCUGAGGAGCGAAAGCCAGGGGAGCAAACGGG
rnacentral:rRNA from 1 species